GAUGAACGCUGGCGGCGUGCUUAACACAUGCAAGUCGAACGAAAAACCUUAUUUGAUUUUCUUCGGAACUGAAGAUUUGGUGAGUGAGUGGCGGACGGGUGAGUAACGCGUGGGUAACCUGCCCUGUACAGGGGGAUAACAGUCAGAAAUGACUGCUAAUACCGCAUAAGACCACAGCACCGCAUGGGGCAGGGGAAAAAACUCCGGUGGUACAGGAUGGACCCGCGUCUGAUUAGCUGGUUGGUGAGGUAACGGCUCACCAAGGCGACGAUCAGUAGCCGGCUUGAGAGAGUGAACGGCCACAUUGGGACUGAGACCCAGCCCAAACUCCUACGGGAGGCAGCAGUAGGGAAUAUUGCACAAUGGGGCAAACCCUGAUGCAGCGACGCCGCGUGAGUGAAGAAGUAUUUCGGUAUGUAAAGCUCUAUCAGCAGGGAAGAAAAUGACGGUACCUGACUAAGAAGCCCCGGCUAACUACGUG
rnacentral:rRNA from 1 species